CUGUGAUUGUCGACACACCAUUGGAACGAUCUCGCUGACUGAUUGCAAUGAGUGCUAAGUCAUGGUAACUCUUUCGCAAACAACGAAUCUACUCGUGUACUCAAAACAUAGUUGAUUACCUGCAUACUACUGGAGUUACUGCUUUUGUUGUUGUAGUUUUUUUUUUUCAGGCAUGCAUGACCUGAAAGGUUAAAGAAAAUUAAUUCAGACUAUGAUAUAUAUGGAAUACUGUGCCGCGCAGUGGUCCAAGUCUGGACUUUUGCACGCGGUAAUUAAAGCGACAACGACUUACUAUUUCCCAAUUAGCUUUUGUUCAUCAAGUUCAUCAAAAAAAGAAGAAAAAAAGCCGUUCGUGUUAGGAGGGGUAUGUACAUGGCGCGCAUACGCACCAUGUGCAAAUCCGAAACUGUAAUGACAUAGCUGAAGUUGCCUUUUUUUCCUCCCCCUUCGAAAACUCAAAAUUAAACGACGAAACACUGUGCUCAACCCGCUCCGUUGGAAUGACAAAUACUCGGCGCAGUGCUUCAGUGAAUCUCCGGCGGCGCCCAGAACUGCGAAGCAAGAGGGCACCGAUCGGCCCGGCGGACGUGUGGUGCGUACGGUGGGACUACUUUCUAAUGUGCGCCUCCAUCUAGUGGACUCCGUGAUGCGCGCGUCGCCCGAAGUGCCGUUAUGAACGCUCUCGUUCUCUAGCAAGAUGAGAGAGAGCCAAAAAAGCAUGAAAAAAAUGAAAUAGAACUGUUUACGUCUUCCACAUUGACAGUGCACGCAGCUGUAUACGGUUGUUUUGCAAGGAGCGGAAGGUUUUGUCAAUGAGUUGACGUCCCUUAUGUCUUUUACCCGAGUUGCAAGAGCACAAAUGUCGAGAGAUAGUAGAUAAAUAGGGCUUGAAGGUUUAGCAUCCUCGUCGUCCCUUCUUGGCAAAAUAGCAAAUUUGCAAUGCACAAUAUUAAACAAAAAUUCUGCGCUGCAUCGACUGGAAACUAGAAGCGCCGCUUGCUGCUCAAACGAGUUCUACUGGAUCUGCUGCUGAAAUGCUCGUUUAGAAGCGUUAUGCAGGGCAGCAUGCACGGUUUUCGGUUUUACGCAGAAGCGCUCACUGCGGUGUUAACUCUGCCAUUAGGUAAUUGUUCUUGCAGCUCGGAAAAAAAGCUCUGUAGUGCUUCAAACCUGCAUACUUAGUAGCCGCAGGACUGUACCCUCCGGCCGUGCGCCAGUUGCAAAAAAAAGAAAAAGAAAAAAAAAACGCUCUGUCUGCUACCCCGCGAAGCUUUACUCCUGUAGCUCUACUCCUGCUCUUGCGUAUAGACUUAAGCGUAAACUUGACAAUGUAUACUUAUAGAAUCGUGAAAGUGGCAUCGUAGGUAUGCGUAUCCAAAAUGAGGAAAUCAUUUCCCAUUCUUGAUAUGCCACUCAUUGUGGAUAUGUGUCAUGUGAGUCAACAAUGUGAAAUGUUCGAGUGAAAAGUUGUGUACGCUACUUUUUGAAAGGGUUCGCGGUAGUGCUAUGUUUAGGUGAGGCGUUGGCUGCCGACUACUUUUUGUCAAAGUCAGUCACCUGAUUGGCCUGCAACAUCCCCGUCGCGGAGACAGCGUAAAUAUUUCAGUGAUAAUGCAGUCAUAAAGCGAACAUCUCUCUCUUUCUCUUCUUUUAAAUGUGAAUUGCGCGAAUCGGACAUUUUGCUACAGCUUACGCGUAGCUCCGACCAGUUUUUGCGGCGGUAGCAAGGGUUCUGGCAUAAAGUGUCCAUGCGAUUGGGUGGCAACAGCGCAGUGCUUUUGGAUGCAGCGGCUGCAGUUUACACACAUUGCGCUGCCUUAGCAGUAGCUUUGUUUUGCAUAAAAACGCCGUGAACAAAAUCGCACGUCGCGUCUCUUCAGAACCAUGUCGCAGACCUACGUGGGACGUGCUUCUCGUCACUGGACCAUCAAGACGCUAAAAGAGCACUCGUAACAUCGGUGCGAUGUAGCCCAACCCAGCAACCGCAGAGAUCGCUACGACGUAACCCAGCAACCGCAGAGAUUGCUACGACGUUUCCCGUACAGCACAUUCAACUUGAUUGUCAGCCAAAGGCACCUUCGACUGCGGACUACGAUCGCAUUUGCUGCAAAAUAAAGAGCCCGUUUCAUCGUGUAUAGAGAGAUUGGACAGGCUCGCUUUUCACGCUCGUACCGGCGAUGCCACUAGCUGGCGACGUACAUCGCAUGAGAGACGCUCUUUCCUGCCGCCUAUAGACCCAAGCCAGCGCUUGCUCGCUCUGGAAUUGAUACAAAGUCUUUCUGGAAGAUCACAUCGCUUAACGUCCCUCGUUGUGUUCCUAGCAUUAAUGCCCGCUCCGUUUAUUCUCAAACGUCCGACUUGCACCAUGUCAUUAAACAUACUCGUUCCUUCUAUUUUUCAUUAAUAUACCGGCUAUCCUCAGCAACUCCCUUGCGAUUGUUUGACUGGCGUAUAUGCGGUUCAGAUAUUAUUCAGUGCAGUAGGCGGUCGCCGGGAUCAGCGUGUCUCAGGAAGGUCGCUACCUGAAGAAUGUCAGCAGAUGAAGCGGGCUCACAUAGCGCUAGCGCAAGCUUUCAACGAUAAGUAGCUGGCAUAUUCCGAAAGAGCGACAUGCAAGAUGGCCAGUUAUAUUCUGUGCGCGAAAGAACUUGUUUUGGGCCCACAAACAAUGCUUUCGCGUGUUUGCUUGUGUGUAACGCAACGUAUAUCAGCUGCUCGAAAAACGCAGGCAGCGCGCUCUUAGCACAGAUUAUCGUCCCUUUAAUUCCGAAGUGUUCGCUCGGGUAGUAACCACACAGAUGAAAGAACGUACUCGCGAGUACGUUCCUUCAUCUGUGUGAUUCUCUCGACACAAACUGCGCAAAGUUUGCAAGAAUUUUUUCCAACACAAUCCUUGUAUUUCUCUCUCUAUGUGUGUAUGUAUGUGUGUUUGUGCUUGCUUUCUAUAUUCCAGCUAUAUAGUCUAAUAAAGCUAUUGUUCCGCUAAAAAAAA